rnacentral:lncRNA from 10 species
GUUAGUGGCGGGGCUGAAGAUUGUCCCAGUGCUUCGCAUGUUUUUGGCUCCAUGUUCAAUCCAUUUGCUGAACACAGUGAAAGUAUCCAGUAUGUCUUUCCACCGUACCCUAGAGUUGGCAUCUUGUUUACCAGAGGGGAGCGGUGAGUGUUUUCAUAUUUUUUGUUUGUUCAAGAGGAAUUAAUAUAUUUUGAAAAUAUAUUUAAAAAUGCAACAUAAUUAGAGCCUUUAUUUAUAACCACCACUGUCUGUUAGUGAUUAAUAUGUUAAUUUGGAUAUUUUAAAGACAGAUUUUUAAAAGAAUAGAAUAAGACUCAUUUAAAUAAUGCAGAAAUGCUAAAUAAACUAAUUUUUUGAGCAACUGAGUUUAUUUUAUUGCCCUGCUCCUGACACAGACAUCAAUCUGUUUUAAACACAUCAGUUCUAGAAGUAUAUUUAGAAGUACAGGGGGAAAUGAGCACGUAAGAAUCAGUCAGUAUUCAGAGAUUAAUCCACUCCUUUUGUAUAACCAUUUUUGGUUUUUUUUUGUUUGUUUUUAUGUUAGUAAAAUGUACUUUUUCUAAGUUUUUCCUUCACUGUAAAAUAUAUCUAUCAGUUGGUUAAAGCAGGAUGCAAAUGUGGUGGGAAUUCUGACUUAGCAGGGUUUGGCAAACUUUUUCUGUAAACAAAAUAAACUUUUUAAUGCAAGCCUAUCACGGAUAUUAAUCAGAUUCACGGAGAAACUAAGAAGCCGCAUAAUUUCUUCAUAGCCCUUUAAUAGUCUUCUUUGAAGAAAUAAGGGUGUUAUGAUAUAUAAUAGACUAGAAGAUCAUAAUUAAAUAAUUAUACAGAAGUAAAGCAAGAUUAUAUAAGUAUACAUAGAGACUCAGAAUGCUUAAAAUGUUUAAGUUCAAAGUUGUGUACUAUUUUUGUCCUGGCAGAAAGACCUCCAUUUUAUCUUUCUUUUUCUUUUUCCUUCCUUCUUUGUUUGUUUUUUUUUUGUUUGUUUGUUUUUUGUUUGACAGAAUCUCACUCUGUCACCCAGGCUGGAGUGCACUGGUGCAAUCUUGGCUCAUU